AAAGCUUUUCUGUCCCUGUCGCGAUGUGUGCCCGGAGUCUCUCCCGCUCCUGUCUCGAGUGCUUUCUCUACGGAAUCUCGCUCUGUCACCCAGGCUGGAAUGCAAUGGCACGAUCUCAACUCACUGGCAACCUCCGCCACCCGGCUUCAAGUGAUUCUUCUGCCUGAGUCUGCUGAGUAGCUGAGAUGACAGAUAUCCGCCAUCACACUGGCUAAUUUUUGUAUUUUUAGUAAAGAUGGGGUUUCACCAUCUUGGCCAGGCUGGUUUUGAACUGUUGACCUCACGGUGAUCUGCCUGCCUCAGUCUCCCAUAGUACUGGGAUUACAGGUGUGAGCCACUGCACCCAGCCUGAGUCCCCUUUUUAACUUGGAGAGUCCCCUUUCCUGGGAGUUACCAGUCCUCCUCCAUUCCAGACACAGGUGGUUCUCUGGGUCGGCUACACAGCUGUCAUUCUGGAACUUUCUUCGGUACUUUCCUGAGUUGGAUUUUAUUCUAACCCCCGUCAUUGAUUGAUUCCAAAGUUUUUUUUUUUUUUCUGUAGUUCA
rnacentral:lncRNA from 10 species